GGAAUAUUGGACAAUGGGCGAAAGCCUGAUCCAGCCAUGCCGCGUGUGUGAAGAAGGUCUUCGGAUUGUAAAGCACUUUAAGUUGGGAGGAAGGGCAGUACAUUAAUACUGUGCUGUUUUGACGUUACCGACAGAAUAAGCACCGGCUAACUCUGUGCCAGCAGCCGCGGUAAUACAGAGGGUGCAAGCGUUAAUCGGAAUUACUGGGCGUAAAGCGCGCGUAGGUGGUUCGUUAAGUUGGAUGUGAAAUCCCCGGGCUCAACCUGGGAACUGCAUUCAAAACUGUCGAGCUAGAGUAUGGUAGAGGGUGGUGGAAUUUCCUGUGUAGCGGUGAAAUGCGUAGAUAUAGGAAGGAACACCAGUGGCGAAGGCGACCACCUGGACUGAUACUGACACUGAGGUGCGAAAGCGUGGGGAGCAAACAGGAUUAGAUACCCCAG
rnacentral:rRNA from 1 species